rnacentral:rRNA from 1 species
UAAAAGAUACUGGAAUGUUCUUUUAUCCAAAGCUUUUGCGCCUGAGGAUGGGCCUGCGUCCGAUUAGGUUGUUGGUGGGGUAAUGGCCCACCAAGCCUGCGAUCGGUACGGGCAGUGAGAGCUGAAGCCCGGAGUUGGGGACUGAGACAAGGCCCCAGGCCCUACGGGGCGCAGCAGGCGCGAAACCUCUGCAAUGCGGGAAACCGUGACAGGGGGAUCCCAAGUGCUCAUGCAUUGCAUGGGCUGUUCUUUGGUCUAAGUAACCAGAGGAGUAAGGGCUGGGCAAGACCGGUGCCAGCAGCCGCGGUAAUCCCCCCGUGCCCCCGCCCCGCCCGCCGCG